rnacentral:rRNA from 1 species
UACGUAGGGUGCGAGCGUUAAUCGGAAUUACUGGGCGUAAAGCGUGCGCAGGCGGUUCGUUGUGUCGGUGGUGAAAUCCCCGGGCUUAACCUGGGAAUGGCCAUGGAAACUGGCGAACUGGAGUGCGGCAGAGGGGGGUGGAAUUCCGCGUGUAGCAGUGAAAUGCGUAGAGAUGCGGAGGAACACCGAUGGUGUAGACGGCUCUCUGGACCGUAACUGACGCUGAGGCACGAAAGCGUGGGUAGCAAACAGG